UACGUAGGGGGCGAGCGUUGUCCGGAUUUAUUGGGCGUAAAUAGCGUGUAGGCGGCCAGGUAGGUCUGCUGUGAAAACUCGAGGCUCAACCUCGAGACGUCGGCGGAAACCAUCUGGCUAGAGUCCGGAAGAGGAGAGUGGAAUUCCUGGUGUAGCGGUGAAAUGCGCAGAUAUCAGGAAGAACACCCGUGGCGAAGGCGGCUCUCUGGGACGGUACUGACGCUGAGACGCGAAAGCGUGGGGAGCGAACAGG
rnacentral:rRNA from 1 species